rnacentral:misc_RNA from 1 species
CCUAGGAGUUGUAGGCUUUGCCUGCUAUCUCUUACCCAUGUCUUUUGAGUACCUUACGUUUCCUCGGCGGGUUCGCCCACCGAUUGGACAAAUUUAAACCCUUUGCAGUUGAAAUCAGCGUCUGAAAAAACUUAAUAGUUA